rnacentral:tRNA from 3 species
UCCGGGGUAGCUCAGUUGGCAGAGCAACGGACUGUUAAUCCGUUUGUCGUGGGUUCGAGCCCCACCCCCGGAG